rnacentral:lncRNA from 1 species
AUGAGGUGGAGAACACCUGCAAGCAGUUUUUCGAUUACACAACACUUGAAACGAUCAAAGGGUUUGUUUAUUAAGGUGAAUAUACAUUUAUUUAACUGUGUCUUUGAAUUACCAGUGGAAACGACUGGAGACAGCCACUCGGCAGCAAACCAGGACACCGAGCAACCGUGCGUUCCAGUGAACAUGGGUGAGGAGGAGCAGGGCUCCGUGGCAGAGGCCUCCUACUAUUCCUACGAGUAUGACUCAGACUCUGAGCCUUUCCUGGCUGAUGCUGAAGGAGGGGACCGCAUUGACCUAGAGCCUAAAAUGUUCCUACCAGCAGACGCCCAGCCUCCCACGUUGGACACAAAAAGCACUCCUGAACGAUGAGACGCCCCAUGCUAAAGCUCCGCCUCUCCUCCAAAUUGUAUCAUACAUGUGAAUAAGCUUGUGAAUGAAAGAGAAGUGCGACUGAGGACUCGCCUGGAGGAAGAGUUUGCUCUUGGAGAAUGAUUGUGUUUCUGUAGUUCGGAUGCUUUAAUGUUUGCUCUUGUCUGCAGUGGGUUGAUUGUGAAAUGUUGUCAAAAAAAAUAAAGAUAGAAACCUUUAGAUUUGUACUUAUCAUCAUCUACAAUCCUAGUCACCAAUAAGCACCGUAGCGUUUUUGUUUUAUUCACUGUCUGCCUUUUAUCUUCUCUAGAAGAAAUAAUCGAGUAUUUAUGUUUGUAAUUACACCUGAUGUUAAGCAAACAUGUUGUUAUAUUUUCUAUCUGUGGUAUUUAUUUGUAUCUACAGGUCAUAUUUUCUAUUUUGUUGUGGUCAUUUUGAGUCGUCCCUCUGCCGUUCAGUCCACCAAUUUCCCCUGCGGUCGAUUCGAGGAGCAUUUUCCGUGAUGGCAAGCUUUAACCCAAUUCCUGAAAGUUUGAGGAAAUUCUUGUGACGGUUUGAUGCAGGAAACAAAACACAGAUGCUCACCAGAUGCUUUACAGGAACAUGCGCUGAUGUGCUUUUCAUUUUCAAGAUUUUUGGAAUUUUUCUGGC